rnacentral:rRNA from 1 species
GAACUGAAGAGUUUGAUCAUGGCUCAGAUUGAACGCUGGCGGCAGGCCUAACACAUGCAAGUCGAGCGGAUGAGGGGAGCUUGCUCUCUGAUUCAGCGGCGGACGGGUGAGUAAUGCCUAGGAAUCUGCCUGGUAGUGGGGGACAACGUUUCGAAAGGAACGCUAAUACCGCAUACGUCCUACGGGAGAAAGCAGGGGACCUUCGGGCCUUGCGCUAUCAGAUGAGCCUAGGUCGGAUUAGCUAGUUGGUGAGGU